AGGCACAAAGAGAAAUGAGGAAUGAAUGAAUGAAUGAGUAUUAUUGAGCAAGGAAUUUUAUUUCUUCAUGCGAGAAACAUUCAGCGGGAAUCUUUGCUAGGCAAUGGGAAAAAAACAAAAUGGACGAAACAAAGAAAUCUACAUGUUUCCUCCAGGAGGCCCACCCAGGCCCCUGGGACCAGAGCAGGCCCCCUUUUCACAUUAUCCAUCAUGUAUCUCAUUGUGAUGAUGAGUUCAACAUGGGGUUAGCUGCUGGCACUGCGAGCUCUUUGAGAGCCAUGAGCCUGGCUGUCCUGCUUGUCACUACAGCCCUGGAGCCUCAUAGCUAGUGUAUGGCACAGAGUGGGCGCCCAGGGAAAAUCUGUGGAAGGAAAAGAGAGAAGGAGGAAAGGCAGGAAAGAGGAAGAAAGAAGUCCAAAUACUCUGAGAUGGAGAUUAGGAAAGAAUAGAAAACAUGUAAGAGAGGCAACAAAAGCCAAGUCCUGAAGCAUGAACAGGAUUGACCUGGUAAAGGCUGAGGCAGCUGCGAACAGAAAGGCCUGGAGUUUGAGAGAACAGUCGUGUUUGGGGAGAAACUUCAGUGGAUGCUGAGUUGGGUAGAUAAGUUAGUUCAUGGAGGGCCGUAAAUGCUUUGCCAAGGACUCUGGCCUCUAUUCUGCAGGUGAUAAAACACCACUGAACAAUUUGAAACUGAACUGUGAAAAUCCAGUAUGGCUUUUCUCUUUCCACAGGGUGUGAUGAGCAGAGGACAGAGGCCCAGUUACUAUCAAUCUCCAGGGCUAACUCAACAGGGUGCUUACAGGGUGCCAAGCGCUGACGCUGAAACACAUAACUGUAAAGAGCCCCCACGAGCAGAAGGAAACAACCACCCACCAACAACAAACUCUACAGUGCCUCCGAUUUUUCACCACACGUAGUAGGAACUAAACAAGAAUUUAUGAAAGGAAUGCCUUCUGACCCACUUGCGAAGAAGCAACUUAUAAGAAAAAUAAAUGUACACAAAGGCAGCUUGGAGUCAAGUCAUAAGUAGACAGAGAGAAGAGAGAGAGGAAGGAUAUGAAUUCCCCAGCCCAGAUUCUGGAUCUGCACUCAGACAAUUUGGGAUAAACUCCCAGAUCUGCUGCUUACUAACUUCAUCAUUUCAUAGGCUGCUUAUUUACCUGUGGCUCCACUUUGUCAUCUAUAAACUGAGUGUGAAACUCACGGUACCUACUUCAUAGCAUUCUUGUGAGAUUAAAAGACCUGAGGACUGUGCCCGGCACACAGGAAGUGGUCUAUAAACAUAGAUUAUUAACACUGUUCCAGGAAUCUAAGAUUGGCCAUACCUGGAUCAGAGGAUUAAACCAAGCCCGAGCUUCCUGCAGCCAAAGCCAGAGAGCAAGAAUUGUUUAACUGGAGCCCAUGGACCCUCCAAGAAUGUCCUAAAUUCUACAUGAAAAUCUUCUGGCAUGCGCUUAUGAACAUUUUUCGCAGGAAAGAAUCUCAAACUUUUGUCCCUAAAAGGAAGUGUGAUCCAAAAAGAAGUAAAACCCACCACUGACUGGAUGACCUCUUAAUUUCUUUGGUCUGCAAAAUUCUAGAAUUUCACCUUUAGU